rnacentral:rRNA from 1 species
GGCGAGCGAACGGGGAGCAGCCCAGAGCCUGAAUCAGUGUGUGUGUUAGUGGAAGCGUCUGGAAAGGCGUGCGAUACAGGGUGACAGCCCCGUACACAAAAAUGCACAUAUUGUGAGCUCGAUGAGUAGGGCGGGACACGUGGUAUCCUGUCUGAAUAUGGGGGGACCAUCCUCCAAGGCUAAAUACUCCUGACUGACCGAUAGUGAACCAGUACCGUGAGGGAAAGGCGAAAAGAACCCCGGCGAGGGGAGUGAAAAAGAACCUGAAACCGUGUACGUACAAGCAGUGGGAGCACGCUUAGGCGUGUGACUGCGUACCUUUUGUAUAAUGGGUCAGCGACUUAUAUUCUGUAGCAAGGUUAACCGAAUAGGGGAGCCGAAGGGAAACCGAGUCUUAACUGGGCGUUAAGUUGCAGGGUAUAGACCCGAAACCCGGUGAUCUAGCCAUGGGCAGGUUGAAGGUUGGGUAACACUAACUGGAGG